GACGUCACUUGGGUUAUGUCCUGGUGUGGAUUUUCGUUUUGGGUGGAGAGCAGACUAUGUUCUUCCUGAAAUUACUGGGGCAGUGGGCACUGGUGAACCAUUGUUCAAUAUGAACUCUGGACGAUUACAAGCAUCACUGGAUAGAGUUGAGGCCAUUUUUAGCCAAUAACCAUAAUGAUCACUUGGAAGAAAAGGAGUUGGGAGC
rnacentral:misc_RNA from 1 species